rnacentral:rRNA from 1 species
UACGUAGGGGGCGAGCGUUGUCCGGAAUCAUUGGGCGUAAAGCGCGUGUAGGCGGUCCGGUAAGUCCGCUGUGAAAGUCCAGGGCUCAACCCUGGGAUGCCGGUGGAUACUGUCGGGCUAGAGUACGGAAGAGGCGAGUGGAAUUCCCGGUGUAGCGGUGAAAUGCGCAGAUAUCGGGAGGAACACCAAUUGCGAAGGCAGCUCGCUGGGACGUUACUGACGCUGAGACGCGAAAGCAAGGGGAUCAAACAGG